AUGCUUUUGCAAGAAUCUUUAAUGACUCUCACUUUCAGGAAUUUGGCAAAGUCUCUAGGAAACAAAGAUCCAGUGGAAUUGUUAAAAUGUGGUAUGUGCAAUUAUACAACACAUGGGAAACAACAGUUUGAUAUACAUUGUGCUCGUCAUUUACGUCAGCAUAAGUUUAGUUGUGAUUAUUGUAAAAAAGGUUUUGUAACAAAAAAUGAAGCAAUUGUUCACAUGCGUGUUCAUACAGGUGAAAAGCCUUUCUCAUGCAAAAUAUGCCAGAAGAGUUUUCGUCAUAAACACACUCUAAAUGUACAUCUGAGAACUCAUGCUUGCAAAUAUUGCAACACAACAUUCAGUGAUAGAAAUAGUUUGCGCAAACAUGAGUCAAAUUGUGAAGAAACAUGCAAAUAAAUCAGGUUAUAUAGACUGCUUGGAGUACCCUGUAUUGAGUGUUCCAUCAUUGGCAGCUACUUGCCAAAACAUUCCAAGCUGCAUAUGCAUUUAGUAUAACUAAAGCUGUUUUAAAAGUUGUGGCAGUUAUAUGAUGCUUUAUGGCCUGUCAAAGAAUACUUAAUUGCGGAUGGAUUUGUGAAAUAUUUUGUUAUAAUUUAUAUAUUUUUAAUUUUUUUAGAUUAAUAAGUAUGUUAUAUAUAUGAAAAUAUUAUUACAUAUUUUUUAUACCUAUGAAGAAACGAUUAAUAUCAGUACUGCAAUAAAGAGAGUGCUUUAUGCAAUAAUGUAGUACCUUAUCCUGUGGCACUCUUCAAAUUUUUUGGUGAGAAUUUUGCUGAAAAAAAAUAUGUUCAGCUUCUGUUUAGUUUAUAUGUUUUAUGUUUAAAUAUGUUCAGCUUUUUAUGCGAUUUCUGAUUCUAUAUUCUGCAUUUCAUUUUGAUAAUGGAAUGUCUAAUAAACCUUUUUACCCUUUUAAUUUGAAAAUGUCAUUGGCCAAUCACUGCUUUCCAGUAUUUGAACUGAGUUUUAAAUAUUAAAGUAUUAGCUUGGUUUCUGAAAAUUGUGCUAAAAAUGGCAUCAUAUUUAGUCAUUGGUGUUUCUGUUUAUUUAUUUGUUUAUUGUGUUGAUUGAAAAGUAUGUGCAAGCUUUUAUGUUCAACGUAUCAUUUUAGUAUGAGCAACAUUUUGUAUUUUAGUGUUGUUUUUCAGUGACAUAAAAAAUGAAAUUGUCAUGUAAGUCUAGCUUAUGUUAUUUUGCCUGAAGAUGUGGUAUAAUAAUAUCAAUAAAAAUCUUGUGCUUCAUAAA